rnacentral:rRNA from 1 species
GAUGAACGCUAGCGGGAGGCCUAACACAUGCAAGCCGAGCGGUAGAGCCUCUUCGGAGACUUCAGAGCGGCGCACGGUUGCGGAACACGUGUGCAACCUGCCUUUAUCUCUGGUAUAGCCUUUCGAAAGGAAGAUUAAUACCCCAUAAUAUACUGGAUGGCAUCAUCUGGUAUUGAAAACUCUUGUGGAUAGAGAUGGUCACGCGCACGAUUAGAUAGUUGGUGAGGUAACGGCUCACCAAGUCAGCGAUCUUUAGGGGGCGUGGGAGUGUGAUCACACAAGAAGGUACAGAGACACGAACCAGACACGGACGGGAGGAAGCAGGAAGGAAUAUUGGAGAAUGGGUGAGAGCCUGAUCCAGACAGCCCGCGUGAAGAACGACGGCCCUAUGGAUUGUAAACUUCUUGUGUAUAGAGAGAAACAGAGAUACGUGUAGCUAGCUGAAGGUACUAUACAAAUAAGGACCGGCUAACUCCGUU